GUGGGUCAAAUGGACCACGACUCCACUGAGCGUUUGGAUUACACUCAGAAUGCUGAGGGAAAAACGUUCAGAAUCUCACCCUUCAGGGAAAAGCGAUGGGACUCCGCGGUGCUCCUUGCCUACGAUUCCCGCACUGCCCAUGGGGAACGAAUCCUAUAUCGCUGAGCGCUUGGUAGGGAAUGUGGACUGUGACCCUGAGAGUCGUCCUUCCCUCUGCCUGAGUCCUUGAGCGAAAAUAUUGAAUAGACAGCAAUUCCUGAAGUCUAAACGCCUCCCAGGACUACGGAGGAUUAUUGGAAAGAGAACAAGCGAGGAGAUACAAUCUUCAAGGACUAAAUGGGGAAUGACUUUUUAGGGGUCAGUAGAUGAUUGAUGAUUGAUUACUAUAAACUGAUAAUAUGAGGCCAAAACUAAAAGUUGGAAGAGUGAGCAAGUACAAUGGUUUGGGAGAGGCAAUGAAGAACAAAGAAGGUGCCAGCCCCUACUCCAGACGCUGUGGUACCACUGGUUUGGCAGGAAAAACAAUCAUCAUUUGAGAGGGCCAGUGGGGAAGCCCUGUCCUCAUGGAAAAGCUAUCUUCUUUCGUUUACACUUUUCAUGGUAUUAUGUCUACUGAAGAGGUAAAAACACCAAAUUUCAGAGAAGCUCUUAAAUUGCCCAAUACUUCAAAGCAAGUAUAACUGGUGAAGCGCUUGGCAUUGAUGUCAGACACCCAAUGCCUAUGAUUUAUUUAAUGCAGUAGCAUUAAGGAGGAUCCUAUACGUGAAGGAACAUAUUUUAUUUUCUUCCUUUAUAUUUUUUGGUUAAAAUAUCGUCAUUAUAGUUAGCAAUUUGGAAUCUGGCUUACAUUGGUUGAUACAAAUAAAUAAUAGAAUAAAGCAAAAUCAGAAAAAAA
ensembl:lncRNA novel transcript